GACGUAGGGCGCGAGCGUUGUCCGGAUUUAUUGGGCGUAAAGAGCUCGUAGGCGGCUCGUUGCGUCCAUCGUGAAAACUCAGGGCUUAACUCUGAGCUUGCGGUGGAUAGGGGCGGGCUAGAGUUCUGUAGGGGAGUCUGGAAUUCCUGGUGUAGCGGUGAAAUGCGCAGAUAUCAGGAGGAACACCGAUGGCGAAGGCAGGACUCUGGGCCGAUACUGACGCUGAGGAGCGAAAGCGUGGGGAUCAAACAGG
rnacentral:rRNA from 1 species